GAGCAAAUGUGAUAACCACUAGCAAUGAUGUUCUUAAUGGAUUCAUUAUCUCCACCUUCAGAGCCAGAGGUUGGCUGACCAAGGUUGAUCCAGUCUGACCACACACAACUUUCUUCACCACUGCACUGGGUAGUUGAUGCUCCUGUUGAGGUUGAUGUAGGAGUAGAGGUUGGAGUUGUAGUAGAAGGCAGAGUUGUUGUUUUUGUGGUAGAUGGAGCUGUCGAAGUUAAGAUUGUAGUAGUGGGUGUAGGACUCGUGGUCGACAGAACUGUUGUUGUUGUUGUUGUUGUUGUCGGGAUGUGUGUUGUGGGAGGACAUUGACAACAUUUCACUCGUAUCUCGUAAUCGAAGCACUUUUGCUGAAGACCUUGCUUACUGUUUUUACAAAUCAGUCCAACGGAUGGAUUGCAAGUCACGUCUUGGCCAAGCUGAGAGAUCUGAAGUCCAGGGUAUUGUUUUGCUCUACAUUCAACUGCCUCUGGAGCUGAGCAAAUGUGAUAACCACUAGCAAUGAUGUUCUUAAUGGAUUCAUUAUCUCCACCUUCAGAGCCAGAGGUUGGCUGACCAAGGUUGAUCCAGUCUGACCACACACAACUUUCUUCACCACUGCACUGGGUAGUUGAUGCUCCUGUUGAGGUUGAUGUAGGAGUAGAGGUUGGAGUUGUAGUAGAAGGCAGAGUUGUUGUUUUUGUGGUAGAUGGAGCUGUCGAAGUUAAGAUUGUAGUAGUGGGUGUAGGACUCGUGGUCGACAGAACUGUUGUUGUUGUUGUUGUUGUUGUCGGGAUGUGUGUUGUGGGAGGACAUUGACAACAUUUCACUCGUAUCUCGUAAUCGAAGCACUUUUGCUGAAGACCUUGCUUACUGUUUUUACAAAUCAGUCCAACGGAUGGAUUGCAAGUCACGUCUUGGCCAAGCUGAGAGAUCUGAAGUCCAGGGUAUUGUUUUGCUCUACAUUCAACUGCCUCUGGAGCUGAGCAAAUGUGAUAACCACUAGCAAUGAUGUUCUUAAUGGAUUCAUUAUCUCCACCUUCAGAGCCAGAGGUUGGCUGACCAAGGUUGAUCCAGUCUGACCACACACAACUUUCUUCACCACUGCACUGGGUAGUUGAUGCUCCUGUUGAGGUUGAUGUAGGAGUAGAGGUUGGAGUUGUAGUAGAAGGCAGAGUUGUUGUUUUUGUGGUAGAUGGAGCUGUCGAAGUUAAGAUUGUAGUAGUGGGUGUAGGACUCGUGGUCGACAGAACUGUUGUUGUUGUUGUUGUUGUCGGGAUGUGUGUUGUGGGAGGACAUUGA